CUAAAGGGCUGUGGCACAUAGAAAUGUAUUUUGCUGAGCUGUGCAACAGGAUGGCACAAAGGCUGAUGGUAUUCCAGAUCCUCCAUGAAGCCUAGAAAUAUGUCAGCUACGGAGUAAUAAGUGGCUGUUACUGGAAUCACUUACUUAGACAUGUUCUGGGCCUUCUCAAUAAAUUUCAUCACCUAAAAGAAAAAGAUGUCAAUGACGACAAAUUCCGAUUUCAACACAAAAUCACAGAGCCCUCUCCAGGGUGGCAUACCUCACAAGCACUAUCACCUAGUGAAUCCCUCAAUCACCUACUGAACGUUCACAAUCUUAGGACAACAAGAAAUAAACAGGCUGAACUAAAGCAACACAGCCACAUCAGCAGCACUCCAAUACCACCUUGGGGCACAAUCCAAGGACCUGAGAAGCUGAAGACUUCGAUCAGUCAAUGUCAAGUUGUAUCUCUUGUCAAAAUGUUAACAGCCUGUCUCAUAGCCUAACAUCAGAGUAUAAAAACCAGUGAUUAUAAAACACUUAUGGAAGUAGGUGACAAAGAAAACCUAAAGAAUGACAAAUAUUUAUCACAAGUAAAAUGCCCCAUCAUCUUUCCAUUCCAUGACUGCUAGUCCAUCCCACUCCCAAAUACCCCCAGCCCAGCUUCAGGGUAUUACCACAAGCAAAGAACAGGUCAAGAAAAUAA